UGGGGAAUAUUGCACAAUGGGCGCAAGCCUGAUGCAGCGACGCCGCGUGGGGGAUGACGGCCUUCGGGUUGUAAACCUCUUUCUGCAGGGACGAAGCGAAAGUGACGGUACCUGCAGAAGAAGCACCGGCCAACUACGUGCCAGCAGCCGCGGUAAUACGUAGGGUGCGAGCGUUGUCCGGAAUUACUGGGCGUAAAGAGCUCGUAGGUGGUUUGUCGCGUUGUUCGUGAAAACCGGGGGGCUUAACCCUCGGCGUGCGGGCGAUACGGGCAGACUAGAGUACUGCAGGGGAGACUGGAAUUCCUGGUGUAGCGGUGGGAUGCGCAGAUAUCAGGAGGAACACCGGUGGCGAAGGCGGGUCUCUGGGCAGUAACUGACGCUGAGGAGCGAAAGCGUGGGGAGCGAACAGGAUUAGAUACCCUGGUAGUCCACGCCGUAAACGGUGGGUACUAGGUGUGGGUUUCCUUCCUUGGGAUCCGUGCCGUAGCUAACGCAUUAAGUACCCCGCCUGGGGAGUACGGCCGCAAGGCU
rnacentral:rRNA from 1 species